rnacentral:rRNA from 1 species
AUUGAACGCUGGCGGCAUGCCUAACACAUGCAAGUCGAACGGUAACGCAAGGAGCUUGCUCCUGGCGACGAGUGGCGGACGGGUGAGUAAUGCUUGGGAAUCUACCCAGUAGUGGGGGACAACACGGGGAAACUCGUGCUAAUACCGCAUACGUCCUACGGGAGAAAGUGGGGGAUCUUCGGACCUCACGCUAUUGGAUGAGCCCAAGUCGGAUUAGCUUGUUGGUGGGGUAACGGCCUACCAAGGCGACGAUCCGUAGCUGGUCUGAGAGGACGAUCAGCCACACUGGGACUGAGACACGGCCCAGACUCCUACGGGAGGCAGCAGUGGGGAAUAUUGGACAAUGGGGGCAACCCUGAUCCAGCAAUGCCGCGUGUGUGAAGAAGGCCUGCGGGUUGUAAAGCACUUUCAGUAGAGAAGAAAAGCCUAGGGUUAAUACCCCUGAGUCUUGACGUAACCUACAGAAGAAGCACCGGCUAACUCCGUG